CGAUCACGUUCAGAGUUUGAUCCUGGCUCAGGAUGAACGCUGACAGAAUGCUUAACACAUGCAAGUCUACUUGAACUUCGGUUUGGGUGGCGGACGGGUGAGUAACGCGUAAAGAACUUGCCUCACAGACUGGGACAACAUUUGGAAACGAAUGCUAAUACCGGAUAUUAUGAUAUGCGCGCAUGCGUAAAUUAUGAAAGCUAUAUGCACUGUGAGAGAGCUUUGCGUCCCAUUAGCUAGUUGGAGAGGUAACGGCUCACCAAGGCGAUGAUGGGUAGCCGGCCUGAGAGGGUGAACGGCCACAAGGGGACUGAGACACGGCCCUU
rnacentral:rRNA from 1 species